CUUUGUAUUCCCUAACAUUCUGUAUUCCUAUGGGUCUCAGUGGGAAAUCAUCUGUUUUGCAGCAUUACCUUAAGCGGCGCACGGGUUACCUCAGUAGAAACAAGUUUAAGAAACUGAGUGCAGGCCUGAAUACGGCCCAACUCACGGGCAUAGUUUCUAAAGUGGACAAUUGGAAUUGAUGAGGAGCACAUGGAUAUUGUAGAAGCUAAACAAGCUAAGUUUGCAGUUUGGAAUUUAAUAAUCAUCCAACUGAAUGUUAGAUAAAACCGGAAUUGGUUUGCAACAGGAGAAAAAGGCUAUAGCCUGGCUUCACUGAAGAGCUGUUUUAACAAUACAAGCUUGCCCAGAGUUUUCCUAAGUCGUUUGGAAUUGUGAUGCAGCACGUUUCCUUGGCAGUGAAGUGGAGCCUGAUGUUAGUGCAGCUUCCUGAAGGCACUUUGAGUAUAAAGAUGUGAUUGUUGUAUGGUUCUAGGUUGAACAUGUGUGCCUCAAGUUCCUUGAAUGCAGAACCACCAUGGAGUUCCAGAGCCUUUGUGGAGACCCUGGAUUUAAAUUUGGUGUCAAAUUCAGAGAUGGGCCUUCUGAGUGUGUGCUGCUGAAUAAAUCUCUCAGCUGUCUUGCAGACUUUCAGGACACGGUCUGAUAAGUCUACCUCGGGACUUCAUGUCGAUCAGUGUGUUCAUCUUGGGAAGAGCUCUCGACACUGAGUGCUGAUAAACAGGUUGAAUGUCACUUUGCCUGAAAUGCCAGCAUAUCAGAAGGUGUUGCCUCCAGUACCACUGUGCUAUCCUGUGGAGAACAGUUGCCACUAGCUGUGAUGGCAUGUCUUGCUACAAUUCUUUUGAAAGCUGACUUAAAUUGCCUUGCUGUGGGAUUGUUGUUAAAUCCAUUAGCAGAUUUGUCCCCACAUAUCUUCAAAUUUUUAUUGUAUUGUUCAGUUUAAUAAUCCAUUUUUGUGUGUACUUGGAAGCUUCUGUUAUUGAACAGAUAUAUAUGUAUGAUUUCCUUGAGUGUGCAUAUGUCAGUAAACCUCUUUCUGAUUAUGAUUUAAUAGAUCAGGGGAUUGUUGAAAUAAUUAAGCUGGUAUGUACAUAUUCCAGAAAUGAAUGCAAAUGCAUGGGAUAAUUCCAUUAAGUAAAGGUAAAUUCAUGAGUGUGUAUAUAUAUAUACCUACUGCAUAUGAACUUGUGUGUGUGUGUAUAUACUAUACCACAUUUUUAUAUUUGGUUCUUAUGGAUUUAUUCUGAAGAGGUACUGUCUGGUUACAAUAUCAACACAUACAGCUUUUUAUUAACAAUCACUGAUCUCUGUGAUUAUAACUUUAAAACCUGCUUUUGCAAAAAAUAUGUAUACGCAUUUUCACUUUGUUGAUAACAAAAUAGCGCGAAAAGUGGUUGGAAACUAGGCUUGCGUUGUUAUACAGUAUUAGAGUAAUAUAAAACAGUUCGCUAAGAAAUCGUAAAGAGUUAUCACGGACGUACCUGCAUGACGUUUAACAUUAAAUCAUUUAGUAUAAUUUGUAAAAAAAAAAAAUAUAAAUUAUAAAUUUUGUUUAUUAGUCAGCUUUGUAUUGAUAUGUUGGUACAUUUACCAAUUUUUAUAUGAUUAACACAAAUUUAUAUUUAUGAUGAAUAUUCUUCUUCCAUGAACUCGUUGUGUUGUGUAAAAUAAAGAUUCAAGAUUCCA